rnacentral:tRNA from 1 species
GUUAGGAUGGCCGAGCGGUCUAAGGCGCCGGACUCAAGUUUUGGUCCAUAAAUGUGGGCGUGGGUUCGAAUCCCACUUCUGACA